rnacentral:rRNA from 1 species
UACGUAGGGGGCUAGCGUUGUCCGGAAUCAUUGGGCGUAAAGAGCGUGUAGGCGGCCAGGGAGGUCCGUUGUGAAAACUCGAGGCUCAACCUCGAGACGCCGAUGGAAACCCCCUGGCUAGAGUCCGGAAGAGGAGAGUGGAAUUCCUGGUGUAGCGGUGAAAUGCGCAGAUAUCAGGAAGAACACCCGUGGCUAAGGCGGCUCUCUAGUACGGUACUGACGCUGAGACGCGAAAGCGUGGGGAGCGAACAGG